rnacentral:piRNA from 1 species
UGGAAUGUGAAAUCCACAUGAGCAGGGC